AGAGUUUGAUCCUGGCUCAGGACGAACGCUGGCGGCGUGCUUAACACAUGCAAGUCGAACGGUGAUGUCGGUGCUUGCACCGCUGAUCAGUGGCGAACGGGUGAGUAACACGUGAGUAACCUGCCCUUGACUCUGGGAUAACCCCGGGAAACCGGAGCUAAUACCGGAUAUGAACUGUCCAGGCAUCUGGUCGGUUGGAAAGAUUUAUCGGUCAAGGAUGGACUCGCGGCCUAUCAGCUUGUUGGUGGGGUAAUGGCCUACCAAGGCGACGACGGGUAGCCGGCCUGAGAGGGCGACCGGCCACACUGGGACUGAGACACGGCCCAGACUCCUACGGGAGGCAGCAGUGGGGAAUAUUGCACAAUGGGCGCAAGCCUGAUGCAGCGACGCCGCGUGAGGGAUGAAGGCCUUCGGGUUGUAAACCUCUUUCAGCAGGGAAGAAGCGAAAGUGACGGUACCUGCAGAAGAAGCACCGGCUAACUACGUGCCAGCAGCCGCGGUAAUACGUAGGGUGCAAGCGUUGUCCGGAAUUAUUGGGCGUAAAGAGCUCGUAGGCGGUCUGUCGCGUCUGCUGUGAAAACUCGGGGCUUAACCCCGGGCCUGCAGUGGGUACGGGCAGACUAGAGUGCGGUAGGGGAGACUGGAAUUCCUGGUGUAGCGGUGAAAUGCGCAGAUAUCAGGAGGAACACCGGUGGCGAAGGCGGGUCUCUGGGCAACAACUGACGCUGAGGAGCGAAAGCGUGGGGAGCGAACAGGAUUAGAUACCCUAGUAGUCC
rnacentral:rRNA from 1 species